GAAGACCAAAUGUAAGGUACCGGACUUCUAAAACUAUGAAGUUACGGUGUAUAUUUAAAUGGUUCCGGUGAGGUUGCGGUGGAACGCAUACCGGAUUUUAAAUAUAAAAGCGAAAAUAAAUAAAAAUAGUAUGAGAUAUUAUUUUUAUUGGAUUUAGAGAACUGAAAUAUAAAUUGGGAAUGACCUGUGCUGAAAUCAGAGCGAAAACAGAAGAUUUAAAAUUUUCUGUAAGAAACGGGGCAGAUAAAUUAGCAGAAAAUACACAGUGUCAUAAAAUUAUGAAAAUUGGCGGAGAUGUCAGAAAUAUUUUUAUGAGGCUAGAUUUAAAAUUUCAUAUUUUUCUGACACCUGUAGAAAGAGAAAUCGAAUCCCAAAGCUAUCUGAUAAAGAUUGCAGUUCGGUACAGUUUUCAGUGACCAAACGGGGUCGAAACUGAAAUAUUAAAAUUUGAACGAGCAUGCCUGUCAAAUUUGAGCGAAAACGGACAUCCGGAAGGACUCCAACGAAAUUUAUCAGAUUUCAAGCUGCCCGUAGUGAAUAGUGUAUAGUUGAGAGGCAAAAUGGUAAAAAGGGAUUU
rnacentral:lncRNA from 1 species